GGAAGGGCUGUGUGGCUCAGGGCCAGAGCACCUGCUUUGCAUGCAGAAGGUCCCGGGUUCUAUCCCCAGCAUCUCCA